CGGCACGGGUGAGUAACACGUAUGCAACCUGCCUGCCACAGCCGGAUAAUCGGGAGAAAUUCCGUCUAAUACGGCAUAAUGCAUCGACGGGACAUCCUGUUGGUGCCAAAGGUUAAUUCCGGUGGCGGAUGGGCAUGCGUCGCAUUAGUUAGUUGGCGGUGUAACGGACCACCAAGACGACGAUGCGUAGGGGUUCUGAGAGGAAGGUCCCCCACACUGGUACUGAAACACGGACCAGACUCCUACGGAAGGCAGCAG
rnacentral:rRNA from 1 species